CCCUUAGAUGUUCUGGGCAGCACGCGCGCUACAAUGGUCUUCGCAAACGGAUGCAUUCUCGAAGGAGAAUGCCAAUCUUGGAAUCUAUGCCUUGGUCGGGACAGUUGCUUGCAAUUCUUCGACUCGAACCAGGAAUUCCUUGUAAUCGUGAUUCAUCACAUCACGAUGAAUACGUCCCUGCCCUUUGUACACACCGCCCGUCGCUCCUACCGAUCGAAGAGUUAGGUGAAUUGUUUUGAUCGAUAAGAUUUGACUAUGGUCAACUCUCGUUGUGAAAUUCUGUGAAUCUGACUGUUUAGAGGAAGGAAAAGUCGUAACA
rnacentral:rRNA from 1 species